CGUAGGUGGCAAGCGUUGUCCGGAGUUACUGGGUGUAAAGGGCGUGUAGGCGGGAAGAUAAGUCAGAUGUGAAAUUCCAUGGCUCAACUGUGGCGCUGCAUCUGAAACUAUCUUUCUUGAGUGAUGGAGAGGAAAGCGGAAUUCCUAGUGUAGCGGUGAAAUGCGUAGAUAUUAGGAGGAACACCAGUGGCGAAGGCGGCUUUCUGGACAUUAACUGACGCUGAGGCGCGAAAGCGUGGGGAGCAAACAGGAUUAGAUACCCUGGUAGUCCACGCUGUAAACGAUGGAUACUAGGUGUAGGAGGUAUCGACCCCUUCUGUGCCGGAGUUAACACAAUAAGUAUCCCACCUGGGGAGUACGGCCGCAAGGUUG
rnacentral:rRNA from 1 species